UACGAAGGGGGCUAGCGUUGUUCGGAAUUACUGGGCGUAAAGCGCACGUAGGCGGAUUGUUAAGUCGGGGGUGAAAUCCCGGGGCUCAACCCCGGAACUGCCUUCGAUACUGGCAAUCUCGAGUCCGGAAGAGGUUAGUGGAAUUCCCAGUGUAGAGGUGAAAUUCGUAGAUAUUGGGAAGAACACCAGUGGCGAAGGCGGCUAACUGGUCCGGUACUGACGCUGAGGUGCGAAAGCGUGGGGAGCAAACAGG
rnacentral:rRNA from 1 species